rnacentral:lncRNA from 1 species
GGACCUUUCUUUUCAGUCAUUUGACUUGCAGUCAAAUUCCCUGGACUUGAAUCAAUGACUUAAGGCCUAUUCUGGAAGAUCUUAUAGGCAGUAGCCCGGGCAUUCCGUACAUCGCUGCCGUCCUUCGUGACUACGAUGAUCUUCCCUUCCUACACUGACUCUACUUCUCGUUCGGUCUUUCCCUUUCACCAUCCUCUCCGUCCAAGAAGCGCCUCUUUCGCUCCAAGGCUUUCUCGCG